rnacentral:misc_RNA from 1 species
GUGAAUCAUCGAAUCUUUGAACGCACCUUGCGCUCCUUGGUAUUCCGAGGAGCAUGCCUGUUUGAGUGUCUUGAAGUCAUCAACCCAAACCGUUUGACACGGUCUGUGCGUUGGAGCUGGGGGCUUGCUGCCGAGAGGUGGCUCCCCUCAAAUGCAUCGGUUGGGCCUGUGGGUCGUACUCGAUUGGGUGUUGUAUUAUCCUCGCUCGAAUGAGAUGUUCCCCUCCUUGUGCCCCUCCACGACCUGCCUUUAUGAGCGGUGGGUCAAGCAAAAACUUUGAAAUUCUGACCUCAAAUCAGGUAGGACUACCCGCUGAACUUAAGCAUAUCAAUAAGCGGAGGA